CUAAGGCCCCCGGCCGGUCCCAGAGUGUGUCGGGCGGCCGGACGCCUGGCCGUCCACAGGUUGCGUCCCCAGCUCCUCCUCCCGGCUCCGCCCCGCCCAGCCCGGGUGGCGGGAAGCAGGGAGGAGAAAUGGCGGGCAGCCUUCCCCAGACUCAUCGGAACAGGAACCUGCUCCUGCAGAGCAGCCUGCAGGACCGGCCCACACCACGGGCAAGGCCCUGGACUAACACCCCGUCCUGGGCGCUGCACCGGUUGGCUCUCUGCUGUGUGGCGUCUAAGCCACUCCCCGGCCCAGCCUGGACCACAGCCUCCCAGGCUGCCUGUCAGAGUUGUCCUGGCCCUGGGGGACAGGUCAGGCUAGUUCCUGGCCCCUCCUACCUGGAAACUGUUCCAUCCAGCACCAUCCAAGCUUGGGCCUGAAGGGGGUGCAGGGUCACUUAGGCCUGAAGGGAAGCCAGACAGAGGUCACACAGCCGGAAAGAGGCAGAAUCGGACUUGGACAGCGCGGCCUAAUUACUGGAGUCUGAAACUCUACCACUUAACUGUGUGACAACUUCCCCAAGCCUCCUCUGUGA